UACGAAGGGGCUAGCGUUGCUCGGAAUCACUGGGCGUAAAGCGCACGUAGGCGGCUUUCUAAGUCAGGGUGAAAUCCUGGAGCUCAACUCCAGAACUGCCUUUGAUACUGGAAGCUUGAGUUCGGAGAGGUGAGUGGAACUGCGAGUGUAGAGGUGAAAUUCGUAGAUAUUCGCAAGAACACCAGUGGCGAAGGCGGCUCACUGGCCGAUACUGACGCUGAGGUGCGAAAGCGUGGGAG
rnacentral:rRNA from 1 species